rnacentral:rRNA from 1 species
AACGCUGGCGGCAGGCCUAACACAUGCAAGUCGAGCGGUAGCACAAGAGAGCUUGCUCUCUGGGUGACGAGCGGCGGACGGGUGAGUAAUGUCUGGGAAACUGCCUGAUGGCGGGGGAUAACUAGUGGAAACGGUAGCUAAUACCGCAUAACGUCGCAAGACCAAAGUGGGGGACCUUCGGGCCUCACGCCAUCAGAUGUGCCCAGGUGGGAUUAGCUGGUAGGUGGGGUAACGGCUCACCUAGGCGACGAUCCCUAGCUGGUCUGAGAGGAUGACCAGCCACACUGGAACUGAGACACGGUCCAGACUCCUACGGGAGGCAGCAGUGGGGAAUAUUGCACAAUGGGCGCAAGCCUGAUGCAGCCAUGCCGCGUGUGUGAAGAAGGCCUUCGGGUUGUAAAGCACUUUCAGCGAGGAGGAAGGGUAAUGUGUUAAUAAGACAUUGCA